rnacentral:rRNA from 1 species
UGGGGAAUAUUGGACAAUGGGCGCAAGCCUGAUCCAGCCAUGCCGCGUGAGUGAUGAAGGCCCUAGGGUUGUAAAGCUCUUUCACCGGUGAAGAUAAUGACGGUAACCGGAGAAGAAGCCCCGGCUAACUUCGUGCCAGCAGCCGCGGUAAUACGCAGGGGGCUAGCGUUGUUCGGAUUUACUGGGCGUAAAGCGCACGUAGGCGGACUUUUAAGUCAGGGGUGAAAUCCCGGGGCUCAACCCCGGAACUGCCUUUGAUACUGGAAGUCUUGAGUAUGGUAGAGGUGAGUGGAAUUCCGAGUGUAGAGGUGAAAUUCGUAGAUAUUGUGAGGAACACCAGUAGCGAAGGCGGCUUUCUGGACUGCAACUGCCACUGCGGCACGAAAGCGUGGGUAGCAAACAGG